AUACCUUUGUCGGUCUUUUGGCUAAGAUCAAGUGUAGUAUCUGUUCUUAUCAGUUUAAUAUCUGAUACGUGGUUCAUAGAACCACAUGAUAUUAAAUGUAUUUUUCUAGGGGGAGGGCCCACUUACA
rnacentral:snRNA from 1 species